rnacentral:rRNA from 1 species
AUGGCCUACUGUGAUGCCUCUGAUUAGAAGAUAAAUUUGAGGAAGUCCUCAAUUUUCUUUGGCUCUAGGUGUUCGCACAGUGUUAAACAAGAGGUUAAGAACAUACUGCAGGUUCACAAUGAAGUACUACAAGACACAUACCUUGGUAUGCCUACUGUGAUAGGCCUAGUUGUCUGUGGUUCUUUUAGUUUCUUGCCUGGUCGUGUGUGGAAGAGCAUACAUGGAUGGACUGGUCGGCCCUUGUCAAGUGCCGAUAAGGAGGUACACUUGAAAGCGGUUGUGCAGUCCAUACCGGCUUAUGUUUUGAGCUGCUUAUGUUGGGAAACAUUGCAUGGAAAACAAUUUUUUUCUAUGCACAUGCAAGAUCUAUCCAUGGAGAUGCAUAGCUACGAGAGGGGAAGAGCAUCUACAUACCCUUGA